rnacentral:rRNA from 1 species
AAGACCUCAAAUCAGGUGGGACUACCUGCUGAACUUAAGCAUAUCAAUAAGCAGAGGAAAAGAAACUAACAAGGAUUCCCCUAGUAAUGGCGAAUGAAGAGGGAAAAGCCCAAAUUUGUAAUCUGGCUCUUUCAGAGUCCGAGUUGUAAUUUUAAGAACUGUUUUCAGUGCUGGACCAUGUACAAGUCUUCUGAAAAGAAGCAUCAUAGAAGGUGAUAAUCCUGUUCGUGAUAUGGACUACCAGUGCAAUAUGAUACAGUCUCUAAGAGUCGAGUUGUUUGGGAAUGCAGCUCAAAGUGGGUGGUAAAUUCCAUCUAAGGCUAAAUAUUGAUGAGAGACCGAUAGCAAACAAGUACCGUGAGGGAAAGAUGAAAAGAACUUUGGAAAGAGAGUUAACAGUGCGUGAAAUUGUUAAAAGGGAAACAAUUGAAGUUAGACUUGUUAUUAAUAGUUCAACCUUUUUCUUAAAAGGAGUAUUCUAUUGAUUAACAGACCAACAUCAAUUUUUGGGUGUUGGAGAAGGGUUUAAGGAAAUGUAGCAAUUUUUGACUGUGUUAUAUUCCUUUUGAGCUUUGAUACAAUGCCUAAGAUUGAGGAAGGCAGUAAGC